rnacentral:rRNA from 1 species
UCGGGGUGACGCUUGUGGAACGAGCGGCGGACGGGUGAGUAACACGUGGGCAACCUGCCUGUAAGACUGGGAUAACUCCGGGAAACCGGGGCUAAUACCGGAUAACACUUCCUAACACAUGUUAAGAAGUUAAAAGAUGGCUUCGGCUAUCACUUACAGAUGGGCCCGCGGCGCAUUAGCUAGUUGGUGAGGUAACGGCUCACCAAGGCAACGAUGCGUAGCCGACCUGAGAGGGUGAUCGGCCACACUGGGACUGAGACACGGCCCAGACUCCUACGGGAGGCAGCAGUAGGGAAUCUUCCGCAAUGGACGAAAGUCUGACGGAGCAACGCCGCGUGAGUGAUGAAGGUUUUCGGAUCGUAAAACUCUGUUGUUAGGGAAGAACAAGUACCGUUCGAAUAGGUCGGUACCUUGACGGUACCUAACCAGAAAGCCCCGGCUAACUACGUGCCAGCAGCCGCGGUAAUACGUAGGGGGCGAGCGUUGUCCGGAAUUAUUGGGCGUAAAGCGCGCGCAGGCGGUCCUUUAAGUCUGAUGUGAAAGCCCACGGCUUAACCGUGGAGGGUCAUUGGAAACUGGAGGACUUGAGUGCAGAAGAGGAGAGUGGAAUUCCAUGUGUAGCGGUGAAAUGCGUAGAGAUAUGGAGGAACACCAGUGGCGAAGGCGACUCUCUGGUCUGCAACUGACGCUGAGGCGCGAAAGCGUGGGUAGCGAACAGGAUUAGAUACCCUGGUAGUCCACGCCGUAAACGAUGAGUGCUAGGUGUUAGGGGGUUUCCGCCCCUUAGUGCUGAAGUUAACGCAUUAAGCACUCCGCCUGGGGAGUACGGCCGCAAGGCUGAAACUCAAAAGAAUUGACGGGGGCCCGCACAAGCGGUGGAGCAUGUGGUUUAAUUCGAAGCAACGCGAAGAACCUUACCAGGUCUUGACAUCCUCUGCUAACACUAGAGAUAGUGUGUUCCCUUCGGGGACAGAGUGACAGGUGGUGCAUGGUUGUCGUCAGCUCGUGUCGUGAGAUGUUGGGUUAAGUCCCGCAACGAGCGCAACCCUUGAUCUUAGUUGCCAGCAUUAAGUUGGGCACUCUAAGGUGACUGCCGGUGACAAACCGGAGGAAGGUGGGGAUGACGUCAAAUCAUCAUGCCCCUUAUGACCUGGGCUACACACGUGCUACAAUGGAUGGAACAAAGGGCAGCGAAGCCGCGAGGUGAAGCAAAUCCCAUAAAACCAUUCUCAGUUCGGAUUGUAGGCUGCAACUCGCCUACAUGAAGCCGGAAUCGCUAGUAAUCG